rnacentral:lncRNA from 1 species
GGCAAAGUAAUCAAACUUUGGCUUGAAGUUAUUCUCGACACUAAAAGUAAACAACGCCGGACACCUUAAAACCAUAGCCACAGCUUCAUCUCUUGAAAAACCUAUGCUCUCCAAGUACUUCAAUUUAGGAAUUAAGGUGUUUUCAACAUUAGAAACCAACAGCACAGGGUCUUGAUAAGCCAAGGCUUCCAGAUCCUCAAACCCAAGCCGUUGAAGAUAGAACAAGCAUGGUUUGAGCUGGUCUCUCACGCUAGAAACUAGCAAUCUUGGGCACUUGUUGAUGGCCUUUCUGAAGUUAUUUUCUGGGACUUUUAGGUCUUGGGAUAGGAAGUU